rnacentral:rRNA from 1 species
UUAAGCGAAUAAGCGUACACGGUGGAUGCCUAGGCAAUCAGAGGCGAUGAAGGACGUGCUAAUCUGCGAUAAGCGUCGGUAAGGUGAUAUGAACCGUUAUACCCGACGAUUUCCGAAUGGGGAAACCCAAUAUCCAAUGGAUAUUAUCAUGACGUGAAUACAUAGCGUCAUGAAGCGAACCGGGAGAACUGAAACAUCUCAGUACCCCGAGGAAAAGAAAUCAACCGAGAUUCCCCUAGUAGCGGCGAGCGAACGGGGAACAGCCCAGAGUCUUAAUCAACAGCAGCAUCAGGAGAACGGUCUGGAAAGUCCGGCAGUAAAGGGUGAUAGCCCCGUAUCUGAAGAUGCUGUUAUUGUGAACUCGACGAGUAGGGCGGGACACGUGUUAUCCUGUCUGAAUAUGGGGGGACCAUCCUCCAAGGCUAAAUACUCCUGAUUGACCGAUAGUGAACCAGUACCGUGAGGGAAAGGCGAAAAGAACCCCGGCGAGGGGAGUGAAAAAGAACCUGAAACCGUGUACGUACAAGCAGUAGGAGCCUCUUUAUGGGGUGACUGCGUACCUUUUGUAUAAUGGGUCAGCGACUUAUAUUCUGUAGCAAGGUUAACCGUAUAGGGGAGCCGUAGGGAAACCGAGUCUUAACUGGGCGAAUGAGUUGCAGGGUAUAGACCCGAAACCCGGUGAUCUAUCCAUGGGCAGGUUGAAGGUUGGGUAACACUAACUGGAGGACCGAACCGACUAAUGUUGAAAAAUUAGCGGAUGACUUGUGGAUGGGGGUGAAAGGCCAAUCAAACCGGGAGAUAGCUGGUUCUCCCCGAAAGCUAUUUAGGUAGCGCCUCGUGAACUCAUCUUCGGGGGUAGAGCACUGUUUCGACUAGGGGGUCAUCCCGACUUACCAACUCGAUGCAAACUGCGAAUACCGAAGAAUGUUAUCACGGGAGACACACGGCGGGUGCUAACGUCCGUCGUGAAGAGGGAAACAACCCAGACCGCCAGCUAAGGUCCCAAAGUCAUGGUUAAGUGGGAAACGAAGUGGGAAGGCUCAGACAGCCAGGAUGUUGGCUUAGAAGCAGCCAUCAUUUAAAGAAAGCGUAAUAGCUCACUGGUCGAGUCGGCCCGCGCGGAAGAUGUAACGGGGCUAAACCAUGCACCGAAGCUGCGGCAGCGACACUUAUGUGUUGUUGGGUAGGGGAGCGUUCUGUAAGCCUGCGAAGGUGUACUGUGAGGUAUGCUGGAGGUAUCAGAAGUGCGAAUGCUGACAUAAGUAACGAUAAUGCGGGUGAAAAACCCGCACGCCGGAAGACCAAGGGUUCCUGUCCAACGUUAAUCGGGGCAGGGUGAGUCGACCCCUAAGGCGAGGCUGAAAAGCGUAGUCGAUGGGAAACGGGUUAAUAUUCCCGUACUGGUGGUAACUGCGAUGGGGGAACGGAGAAGGCUAGGUUGUCCGGGCGACGGUCGUCCCGGUUCAAGCAUGUAGGCAGAGUGAUUAGGCAAAUCCGGUCACUUAAUGCUGAGGUGUGAUGACGAGCCACUAAGGUGGUGAAGCAAUUGAUGCCCUGCUUCCAGGAAAAGCCUCUAAGCUUCAGGUUACCAACAAUCGUACCCCAAACCGACACAGGUGGUCAGGUAGAGAAUACUCAGGCGCUUGAGAGAACUCGGGUGAAGGAACUAGGCAAAAUGGUGCCGUAACUUCGGGAGAAGGCACGCUGGCGGUAAGUGAAGUCCCUUGCGGACGGAGCCGAAGCCAGUCGAAGAUACCAGCUGGCUGCAACUGUUUAUUAAAAACACAGCACUGUGCAAACACGAAAGUGGACGUAUACGGUGUGACGCCUGCCCGGUGCUGGAAGGUUAAUUGAUGGGGUUAUCCGUAAGGAGAAGCUCUUGAUCGAAGCCCCAGUAAACGGCGGCCGUAACUAUAACGGUCCUAAGGUAGCGAAAUUCCUUGUCGGGUAAGUUCCGACCUGCACGAAUGGCGUAAUGAUGGCCAGGCUGUCUCCACCCGAGACUCAGUGAAAUUGAACUCGCUGUGAAGAUGCAGUGUACCCGCGGCAAGACGGAAAGACCCCGUGAACCUUUACUAUAGCUUGACACUGAACAUUGAGCCUUGAUGUGUAGGAUAGGUGGGAGACUUAGAAGUGUGGACGCCAGUCUGCAUGGAGUCAACCUUGAAAUACCACCCUUUAACGUUUGAUGUUCUAACCUAGGUCCAUAAUCUGGAUCGGGGACCGUGUCUGGUGGGUAGUUUGACUGGGGCGGUCUCCUCCUAAAGAGUAACGGAGGAGCACGAAGGUUGGCUAAGCAUGGUCGGACAUCAUGCGGUUAGUGCAAAGGCAUAAGCCAGCUUGACUGUGAGAGUGACGGCUCGAGCAGGUACGAAAGUAGGUCUUAGUGAUCCGGUGGUUCUGAAUGGAAGGGCCAUCGCUCAACGGAUAAAAGGUACUCCGGGGAUAACAGGCUGAUACCGCCCAAGAGUUCAUAUCGACGGCGGUGUUUGGCACCUCGAUGUCGGCUCAUCACAUCCUGGGGCUGAAGUAGGUCCCAAGGGUAUGGCUGUUCGCCAUUUAAAGUGGUACGCGAGCUGGGUUUAGAACGUCGUGAGACAGUUCGGUCCCUAUCUGCCGUGGGCGUUGGAAGAUUGAGAGGGGUUGCUCCUAGUACGAGAGGACCGGAGUGAACGCACCACUGGUGUUCGGGUUGUCAUGCCAAUGGCAUUGCCCGGUAGCUAAGUGCGGAAGAGAUAACCGCUGAAAGCAUCUAAGCGGGAAACUUGCCUCGAGAUGAGUCUUCCCUGUCACCUUGAGUGACCUAAAGGAACGUUUAAGACUAAGACGUUGAUAGGCUGGGUGUGUAAGCGUAGCGAUACGUUGAGCUAACCAGUACUAAUGAACCGUGAGGCUUAACCUG